rfam:Myotis lucifugus cont2.5791, whole genome shotgun sequence.
GCCAGUUUGGCUCAGUAGAUAGAGCAUUGGCCUGUGGGCCAAAGGGUCCCAGGUCAAUUCCUGUCAAUGGCA